rnacentral:piRNA from 1 species
GGGCAAUCGAUACUUUACCAUGAUGAA